rnacentral:rRNA from 1 species
GGUUAAGUUAGAAAGGGCGCACGGUGGAUGCCUUGACACUAGGAGUCGAUGAAGGACGGGACUAACGCCGAUAUGCUUCGGGGAGCUGUAAGUAAGCUUUGAUCCGAAGAUUUCCGAAUGGGGAAACCCACCAUACGUAAUGGUAUGGUAUCCUUAUCUGAAUACAUAGGGUAAGGAAGACAGACCCAGGGAACUGAAACAUCUAAGUACCUGGAGGAAGAGAAAGCAAAUGCGAUUUCCUGAGUAGCGGCGAGCGAAACGGAACAUAGCCCAAACCAAGAGGCUUGCCUCUUGGGGUUGUAGGACAUUCUAUACGGAGUUACAAAGGAACGAGGUAGACGAAGCGACCUGGAAAGGUCCGUCGUAGAGGGUAACAACCCCGUAGUCGAAACUUCGUUCUCUCUUGAAUGUAUCCUGAGUACGGCGGAACACGUGAAAUUCCGUCGGAAUCUGGGAGGACCAUCUCCCAAGGCUAAAUACUCCCUAGUGAUCGAUAGUGAACCAGUACCGUGAGGGAAAGGUGAAAAGCACCCCGGAAGGGGAGUGAAAGAGAUCCUGAAACCGUGUGCCUACAAAUAGUCAGAGCCCGUUAACGGGUGAUGGCGUGCCUUUUGUAGAAUGAACCGGCGAGUUACGAUCCCGUGCGAGGUUAAGCUGAAGAGGCGGAGCCGCAGCGAAAGCGAGUCUGAAUAGGGCGUUUAGUACGUGGUCGUAGACCCGAAACCAGGUGAUCUACCCAUGUCCAGGGUGAAGUUCAGGUAACACUGAAUGGAGGCCCGAACCCACGCACGUUGAAAAGUGCGGGGAUGAGGUGUGGGUAGCGGAGAAAUUCCAAUCGAACCUGGAGAUAGCUGGUUCUCCCCGAAAUAGCUUUAGGGCUAGCCUUAAGUGUAAGAGUCUUGGAGGUAGAGCACUGAUUGGACUAGGGGUCCUCAUCGGAUUACCGAAUUCAGUCAAACUCCGAAUGCCAAUGACUUAUCCUUAGGAGUCAGACUGCGAGUGAUAAGAUCCGUAGUCAAAAGGGAAACAGCCCAGACCGCCAGCUAAGGUCCCAAAGUGUGUAUUAAGUGGAAAAGGAUGUGGAGUUGCUUAGACAACUAGGAUGUUGGCUUAGAAGCAGCCACCAUUUAAAGAGUGCGUAAUAGCUCACUAGUCGAGUGACUCUGCGCCGAAAAUGUACCGGGGCUAAAUACACCACCGAAGCUGCGGAUUGAUACCAAUGGUAUCAGUGGUAGGGGAGCGUUCUAAGGACAGUGAAGUCAGACCGGAAGGACUGGUGGAGUGCUUAGAAGUGAGAAUGCCGGUAUGAGUAGCGAAAGACGGGUGAGAAUCCCGUCCACCGAAUGCCUAAGGUUUCCUGAGGAAGGCUCGUCCGCUCAGGGUUAGUCAGGACCUAAGCCGAGGCCGACAGGCGUAGGCGAUGGACAACAGGUUGAUAUUCCUGUACCACCUCUUUAUCGUUUGAGCAAUGGAGGGACGCAGAAGGAUAGAAGAAGCGUGCGAUUGGUUGUGCACGUCCAAGCAGUUAGGCUGAUAAGUAGGCAAAUCCGCUUAUCGUGAAGGCUGAGCUGUGAUGGGGAAGCUCCUUAUGGAGCGAAGUCUUUGAUUCCCCGCUGCCAAGAAAAGCUUCUAGCGAGAUAAAAGGUGCCUGUACCGCAAACCGACACAGGUAGGCGAGGAGAGAAUCCUAAGGUGUGCGAGAGAACUCUGGUUAAGGAACUCGGCAAAAUGACCCCGUAACUUCGGGAGAAGGGGUGCUUUCUUAACGGAAAGCCGCAGUGAAUAGGCCCAAGCGACUGUUUAGCAAAAACACAGCUCUCUGCGAAGCCGUAAGGCGAAGUAUAGGGGGUGACACCUGCCCGGUGCUGGAAGGUUAAGGAGAGGGGUUAGUGUAAGCGAAGCUCUGAACUGAAGCCCCAGUAAACGGCGGCCGUAACUAUAACGGUCCUAAGGUAGCGAAAUUCCUUGUCGGGUAAGUUCCGACCCGCACGAAAGGUGUAACGAUUUGGGCACUGUCUCAACCAGAGACUCGGUGAAAUUAUAGUACCUGUGAAGAUGCAGGUUACCCGCGACAGGACGGAAAGACCCCGUGGAGCUUUACUGUAGCCUGAUAUUGAAUUUUGGUACAGUUUGUACAGGAUAGGCGGGAGCCAUUGAAACCGGAGCGCUAGCUUCGGUGGAGGCGCUGGUGGGAUACCGCCCUGACUGUAUUGAAAUUCUAACCUACGGGUCUUAUCGACCCGGGAGACAGUGUCAGGUGGGCAGUUUGACUGGGGCGGUCGCCUCCUAAAGUGUAACGGAGGCGCCCAAAGGUUCCCUCAGAAUGGUUGGAAAUCAUUCGUAGAGUGCAAAGGCAUAAGGGAGCUUGACUGCGAGACCUACAAGUCGAGCAGGGACGAAAGUCGGGCUUAGUGAUCCGGUGGUUCCGCAUGGAAGGGCCAUCGCUCAACGGAUAAAAGCUACCCCGGGGAUAACAGGCUUAUCUCCCCCAAGAGUCCACAUCGACGGGGAGGUUUGGCACCUCGAUGUCGGCUCAUCGCAUCCUGGGGCUGUAGUCGGUCCCAAGGGUUGGGCUGUUCGCCCAUUAAAGCGGUACGCGAGCUGGGUUCAGAACGUCGUGAGACAGUUCGGUCCCUAUCCGUCGUGGGCGUAGGAAAUUUGAGAGGAGCUGUCCUUAGUACGAGAGGACCGGGAUGGACGCACCGCUGGUGUACCAGUUGUUCUGCCAAGGGCAUAGCUGGGUAGCUAUGUGCGGAAGGGAUAAGUGCUGAAAGCAUCUAAGCAUGAAGCCCCCCUCAAGAUGAGAUUUCCCAUAGCGUAAGCUAGUAAGAUCCCUGAAAGAUGAUCAGGUUGAUAGGUUCGAGGUGGAAGCAUGGUGACAUGUGGAGCUGACGAAUACUAAUAGAUCGAGGACUUAACCAU